AUUAAUAGAGACCAUUACUACCAGGUCAUAAACAAUGUCACAGAGAUGAAGGAUAUUCACCCUGAAGUCAGUUACCUUAGAACAUUAGGUCAAUGUGUGAGGCUGUGAAGCAGACAGCAUGUCAAUGGGCUUGAUCUUACAGUGUACCAUGUGGUACAAUAGUAGGCUAUACUGUCUGUUGGACCAGAACUCAUCUGGUAUCUAUUCAUCUAUUAACAAGUCCAUAUUACGUAUUAUUAGGCCUUCAAAAGGAAAAACAUUCAGUUGAAUAACUGAGUCUGAGCUGUCUACAGUCAAGUAAGAGAGAGGGAUCUGUUCCAUUUAACAAUUAAUUAUACUCCGAAAUGAACAUUCCAUUAACCGAGAUUCUGUCAGUUUGAAAAGAUCACUAUAAGGACUCUAACACUAGUCCUGCACAAAUUGUGAAGGUUGGUUGUUCAUCAACCUAGACAGGAAAGGUUCAGAAAAGCCUUGUUCUUUAGUCUAGGAUGUCAUAAACAAGUGGACUCUGGGACACUGUCGUUGAGCUUUGAAGGGUAAAUGAGAUGGGUAAUCACUUGACAAUGGUUAAAACUGAAUAGGAGAUGUGGUGAAACCGAAGUUUCAGAAGAUCAAGACAUUUGUAGUUUAUUCAUCGAUAGCCGAGGGCAGGAAACGGAACCUCAAGGUGAGUGUCAUUCAAGGGUAGAGGCUUGAACAGGUGGGGCUCCAAACUCACAUGCAGGCAUUGUGGGUACACACACAAACAACUAGACAUAAUCUAACAGCACAAAUUGGCCACAACGGUGUCCAUAGUGCUUUUGGCUGUACAUCCAGAAGGGGGCAUCUGUGAGUCACUGAGUGCAGCAAAAAACAACUCUGUAGUUACUACUGUAGAUGGCCAUGCUAGAAAGAACUAAAGUUACGAUUUUGUCCGAACUAAUGUGUAACUACCUACAUUUUUGGUACUCGAUUUAGUUAGGUUUAAGGUUUGGGUAAUGGUUAAGGUUAGGGGGAGCGGUGAAAUGGACUAUGUGGUUGUACUGUGCCGUCGUUUCAAGCAUGAUCACAUAGUAACAACUAAGCCACACCCUUCCUCAUUUUAUGACACACUGGUCGUGUGAGUUCACCAAGGGGUGCAAUAGAUACUUCUUUAUUCAACUGUCACAAAGUGCACCACAGAUAGAAAGAGCCAGAUGUCUCACCGGAUGUAUAAAUCUGAAGCGUCCAUUUUGAACCUCCACUCACUCCGUUUUGUAGACUUGACCCUUCGCCAAAGCUUCAAAUGUUUUUGUUGUUUAGGAAUGCAAGGGCGAAUUGAGUUAUUGCCCCAAACACACUUUAGAGAAAAGGAAUUCCCUAACGGAAAUAUGCAAAUGCUUGCAAACACGUGCCAAUAGGAUCUUGCUAGCUCGUGCCUGGAUCUGCCCACCUCCUUGCUUGUUCUGUCCAAUAUGCUUAAUUUGCUCACAUUAGAAACGACACCGAUGAGAUAUAUUGAGUUAGUUGCCAGUAUCUUUGGUAUACCACGUAAUGCCAGGUACAGUACAGGCCUGUAGGGUGUCUAUGGUGUCAGGCACAUUCAAAUCAUUAAAAAUAAAACCACUGCUUUAUUACUAUUAACUUCUAAGUGUGACAGUUUUACAAUUCUGUUAAAAAGACAGCAUUCACUCUCACAACAUGUACAGAACUGAGGCCUUGGUCUCUAUAGAAAUAUAUGCAAAUGUUACAUACAUUCAACACAAAAUCAACAUUGGUUUAAGAUGCAGGAAAUAAACAUGUAAAACGAUAGGAUAUUUACAUUCCAAUUAGACAGCACUGGGUAAAAAUUGACUUUACUAUUAUUGAUUAUGAGAAGUAAGGCAGUGAUCUUGCAAUCACAUCACACAGUUUAAGAUUGUCAUUGUAAAGUUUGCUCGUACUGCAGUAAACUUGUUCUCACAUGGGUUAAGAAAGAACAGAAAUAUACACAGAGGUACACACUGGCAGAGUAGAAGUGUGAGCAGGCUUUAAAGGCACAUGGCUUAAGUUUGAGCAAUUGCACUUUACCAACUGCAUAUUUCUAUAUAAGCGCAAACUUUAAAUUAAGUAUUUUUGCAAACUAUCGUAUUUCAUGUAACAACAGGUAUGUUUAUAUGCAUUCAAUAAUAUGAUUUGUGUUAAUACUCUGAUUAAUAUUAUAGUUUGAUUAAAACGUUUACAUGCUUUGCGAGAAGAACGAUUUCCUCUACAUUCCGGUGGACAGGUUAUAUUUAGGCAACCUGAAAAUCAUCAAUCAACAUAAACGUUCUAUCACAUCGAUCAUAUCAUUUUGGGAAGCCUAUCUGAUUCAGAGUUUGGACAUACUAUAUAAUGUUUGCAUGUGAAAACUAUACAUACUUUCAGAUUUCCCAAACUCACUUCACCUGUGCCAGAAAAGGAGGUUCACGCUGCUCAUGAUAGCACAUGUGCAGAUCAAAUACACCACUGGAACUGAGAUUAAGUUGUUUACAUGCCAUUAAUACACCACUGGAACUGAGAUUAAGUUGUUUACAUGCCAUUAAUACACCACUGGAAGUGAGAUUAGGAUGUUUACAUGCCAUUAAUACACCACUGGAAGUGAGAUUAAGGUGUUUACAUGCCAUUAAUACACCACUGGAAGUGAGAUUAAGUUGUUUACAUGCCAUUAAUACACCACUGGAAGUGAGAUUAGGAUGUUUACAUGCCAUUAAUACACCACUGGAAGCAAGAUUAGGAUGUUUACAUGCCAUUAAUACACCACUGGAAGUGAGAUUAAGGUGUUUACAUACCAUUAUAAUUAGAAAGAUUGCGGCAUAUGCUUACUUCACUUUUGACCUUACACCGAUUAAGAAAAUCAGAGUAAGGUGUUGACAUGACUGAUGCCAAACUCUGAGUAUUAACCCUAAUUAGCUAAUAUUGAAUAAUUUGUGUGCAUGUAAACAUACUCAGUGUAGUAGUCAUUGGUGUCAUAGGUUUGUCUAUGAUCCUGAGAAUUUGUAAGGUUUAGCAAUUUACUUUGCAAAUUGUUCUUUCCUGCAAAGCAUGUACACUUAAUAUAUAUAUAUUAUUUAUUUUUUUAACACAUUUUUCUCCCCAAUUUCAUGAUAUACAAUUGGUAAUUACAGUCUUGUCUCCUCACUGCAACUCCCGUACGGACUUGGGAGAGGCGAAGGUCGGGAGCCAUGCGUCCUCCGAAACACGACCCAACCAACCCGCACUGCUUCUUGACACAAUGCCCCCUUAACCCGGAAGCCAGCCACACCAAUAUGUCGGAGGAAACACCGUACACCUGGCGACCGUGUCAGCAUGCACUGGCCCCGCCCGCCACAGGAGUCGCUAGAGAGCGAUGGGACAAGGACAUCCCGGCCGGCCAAACCCUCCCCUAACCUAGACGACGCUGGGCCAAUUGUGCACCGCCCCAUGGGUCUCCCGGUCUCGGCCGGCUGCGACAGAGCCUGGACUCAAACCAGGAUUUCUAGUGGCACAGCUAGCAACUGCAAUGCAGUGCCUUAGACCACUGCGCAACUCGGGAGGCCCUAAGCAUGUAAAACUUGUAGUGUACUCAAGGCUUAAAAGGGCUUCUGAAAUGAGUAAUUUCCACUUUGAAACUUCUGACUUGAUUUUCCUGUACAAAAAAAAUAUAUAUAAAGGGGCGGCAGGGUAGCCUAGUGGUUAGAGCGUUGGACUAGUAACCGGAAGGUUGCAAGUUCAAAUCCCUGAGCUGACAAGGUACAAAUCUGUCGUUCUGCCCCUGAACAGGCAGUUAACCCACUGUUCCUAGGCCGUCAUUGAAAAUAAGAAUUUGUUCUUAACUGACUUGCCUAGUUAAUAAAAAAAAAUAUUAACCCCUACAAAAUGUAUUAUAAAUACAAAAUGUAUUAUAAUCCAUAUAAUUAAAAGUUCCUUUCUGCUGGACUAUUUUCCUGCAGUAACAAACUCAGCUUAGCUCAAAUUAAGAUCCUACAUCUGUAACUCAAAUUGACCUCUAUUUCUCAGAUCGGGAUGUAACAUUCUUUUUGUCAUCCAGUGCUCGUUGUCUAGAUGUUUGUUUCUCUUGAGCCACAGUGAUCCUCUGGCCCACAGAUCCACAGCUAAAACACAUCAGUAGGAACAAGAGGUCAACACACUGGUAGAGUUAGCCUAAAUUGGUUCACAAUUAAGAGAAUGAGGUGGAUGCAGUAUAUAUUAUUUUACAGUCAAACUUACCAUCCUACAAUACCGAAUCAUCUUUAUGAUAAUUUUCCCUCGCCAAGGCUUCCUCUGCAAAAUAACAAACAAAACAGGAUAGUUGGAGCGCUCAAAGUCCCAUUGCCAUCGCUAGAUAGACAUACCACCAUAUUGCUAACAUCUUAAAUAUAAUACUGUUUAUGCCAUUAAGCAAACUCAUUUAUCCAAAGUGACUUACUGUACAGUCAUGCAUGCAUACAUUUUUCAUUUGGGUGGCCCAGGAGGUUAAAGUUAUAUUCCUAACUCCUAUUUGGUCCCUUCAGAUCAAACAUAGAAGUGGAAGAUGCUGGGCAUCAUACCUUCCUUCCCCUGCCCCUCUUCAGCUGCGGUUGUGUUAACAGCAGAGUAGGAGACACCUGAGAGACAUCUAAUGAUACUUCUGGUACUAUUUCUGCAUCAUGCAGUCUAGAAGUAGCUCUAUGACUUGCCUGUGGAUGCAGAAACUCCAUUUGAUGUGUCAGUGGCUGAAGAGAGAGAGAGAGAGUUUAGCUUAAUCAUACACAGAUCCUGUUUGUUGUGGUCAAGUAAAGGAAACACUUACUAGGUCCCACUUCUCUCUGGUUUCUCCAGAAUUCUAGUAAUGGAAAACAGAGAAGAGAUAUUUGAAUUAGGUCAGUAAUCUCAGCAGUGACUAAUGCAAGUAAUACACAUUUAACAUGUUCAUCUCCCUUCCACCGGAGCAAAGGGACAUGAUCGUGAGGAAUCGUGAUGGCAGCGAAAACAAUGAAUGGAAUUUAAAUGAACAUUACUACAAAACAAUGAAUGGAAUUUAAA
ensembl:lncRNA